ACGGUCAACUCACAUUGAAACACCAGUCACCAAAGUUAAGCAAUGUUGAGUCUGGUCAGUACCUAGAUGGGUGACCACUUGGGAAUACCAGGUGCUGUAAG